rnacentral:rRNA from 1 species
UACGAAGGGGGCAAGCGUUGUUCGGAAUUACUGGGCGUAAAGCGUGCGCAGGCGGUUCGUUAAGACAGAUGUGAAAUCCCCGGGCUUAACCUGGGAACUGCAUUUGUGACUGGCGAGCUAGAGUAUGGCAGAGGGGGGUAGAAUUCCACGUGUAGCAGUGAAAUGCGUAGAGAUGUGGAGGAAUACCGAUGGCGAAGGCAGCCCCCUGGGCCAAUACUGACGCUCAUGCACGAAAGCGUGGGGAGCAAACCGG